rnacentral:lncRNA from 1 species
GGGUGUGAAUAACCAUGCAAACUUACAUGGUGCCCUCACUUGUUACAGUCACCUAUUCGAUGUGCCGGUAAACCAUACACGCUCCACCGAACUAUGACAAACAUUGAGUCACCCUUUGCUACCUUUGCUUAGAACCAUUUAGUGUGCCGGUAAACCACACACGCUCCACUAACGUCUUCGCAAGGGCACAAAGUGUAAUUUCAUGGAAUUGCAUCAAUUCACUUUGCCUAAGUAACUAAGAUUGGGAAUUUGAAAAACAUUUAGUUACUUUAGAAAUUCAUUAUACUUAUAAUGGAAGGUUUCGUCCUAUCCUACCCGUUCGGCUAACGACCCUCCACUAGUCAAGAGUGCGGUGGGUAAGAGUGGAUACCCAUUCAAUCGCCAUUUUAUAGGCAAUUUCCUUAAACACCCCUUAUAGACCAGCUUCGUGAAUGAGGCCUACUAACGGUAAGAUUGACUUUUACUCAUACAUAUAUAUAAUGUUAGACUUUUAAUGUUAUAUAUAAUAUAGGGUGUAUUUUACACUUUGAAAAUACUAGGUGGUCAAAUUUAAUAAUUAUACCUUUAAUUCAAUUAAAUUGUAUACCUAAACUUUUUAUGGAUUUAUUAAACCUCUUUUAAUUAUACACCUUAAUUAAUUAAUAAAACCAUAAGGGUGUGAUUUGAACUUUUCAAAACAUUACUUAGAGUUUUAGAAUUUAACAUUCCUAAUUAAACUUUUAAUCAACUUUUAAAUUCCAAAACUUGAGGGCAAGUUUUGAAACAUUUCAACACAUUAGGGUUUAGAAUUUAAAUAUACAUCAAAAUUAAACUAUUAAUCAAAAUUUAAAUUCCAAAACUUGAGGGCAAGUUUUGAAACCUUUUUCAAAACAUUAGGGUUUCAACUAUUUAAAUUUCAAAACAACAUAACUUUUGGGUUCAAAUUUAAACUAUAAAACCUAAAGGGGAAAAUAUGAAACUUUUCAUAACAACAAGGAUAAAAUAACCAAUAAUCUUAAUUAACAUUUAAUCACAUAAUUAUCCAUAUUUGAUUUAUUUAAUGAUUUCUUGCAAAACAAUUUACCAAUUUAAUCAAAAUAAUUAAUCAAUUAUCACAUAAGGAAACAAAUAUUUUAUUAAUUGAUAAAUAUCUUUAAUUAGAUCAAGAAUAUAAUUAAAUAUAUCAUAAAAUCAGAUUUAUAUUGAUCUAAUAUGAUAAGGCAACUAUACUUAAGCAAAAACAGCAAGAA